rnacentral:pre_miRNA from 1 species
UUAACUCAAAGUAUGGAGUUGUAACGUUUGCCUACAUUUGCCGCUAGGGGCGCUGUUCCUACUGCAUACAAAUUUGAGUUA